GCCGGGAGCCGGUCACUAUGCCAGCUCAGCCAGGGCCGCGGGGAGCAGGGGCGCCUGGCCCGGGGGCAAGGUCAUCGCCCUAUAGCACCGUGCCACGGGGAUCCACCCAGGGUACGUCUACAUGGGGGCACGUAGGGAAGUGACUCUGAAUUUACUGAGCUAUAGGUUAGGUCUAUGUAAGUGGUCUUGCGUUUUGGGCUUGUCUACAGUGCCGGAUUGGCACGCAGUGAUCGAUCCAGCGGGGUUGAUAAAUCGACCGCUGAGCGCUCUCCAGUACUCCACCAGAACGAGAAGCACAAGCGGAGUCGAGGGGAGAGUGUCAGCUGUCGACUUACUGCAGUGAAGAGUGCACAAUACCCUACGCUGACAGUACAAUGGAAACAAGCACUCCUGGUGAGAUCGCGCACCGCUGACACUAGGAGCCAAGCGUGCACACACAAGCAAUUUAAUGGCUGAGGUGGCUAUAUGUCAAUCGCCUAGGAGCUUCAGACAUGAUCCAGGACCCAUCGCUUUAGAUGCUGUACGUACACAGAACAAAAAGCUGGUUCUUGCCCAGCAAACUGACAAUCUAAGUGUAAGACCCGAGACAACAACAUACGGAUACAGACAGACAGGGAGCACAAGGAAACUACGCAACAGUGUUGGUUCCCAGGAUGGGCCGUGGUCUCAACACACCAGCAGCCUAACCAUUGACAAACUAGUUUUGCAGGCAUCAUGUCAAAGCAGAGCAUCAUGUCAAAGAACGGAUCGCUGGCCCAAGCCACCCUCCACUCAGCAUAUGGCCCCCUACGGCUCACUAAGCCAACCCAGCCAAGCCAGGAGAGGGCAGUUUUGUUCCCUUCAAUACCACUAGUUGCUAUGUUUCAAUGACUGAUAGAGCAGCUUUCUCUGUGGCAUCGUAAUAUGCUCUCUGGGCUAAAAUCCUUUUCCUAGAGCCCUGACCUAGAACUGGGCCUGGUGCUAGGGAAAUGCCGUGAUGAAGGAAUGCUACUGCUAGGCUGUGGAAUCACUCUACGACUGCUACUCCCAUCUAAUGGUCUUAGAGCACACACCCCACCAUGCUUGGUGGAGAAAGUGCCAGGGGUUAAAGCAAAAAGGAGCAGGAGAAAGCCCAGUUCUCCAUCCUUUCCUAAAAGCAGAGAGAGCGCCAGGGCCGGCUUUAGGCCAAUUCCACCAAUUCCCCCGAAUCGGGCCCCGCGCUUAAGAGGGCCCCGCGCCCAGUGGCAGGGCCACCCAGAGUGGGGGGCAAGUGGCAGAGAAUCCCUUCCCUGGCUAGAGGCACCUUUUUAAUUUUUACUCACCCGGCGGCGCUGUCUUUGGCAGCGGGUCCUUCACUCGCUCCGGGUCUUUGGUGGCACUUUGGCGGCGGGUCCUUCAGUGCCGCUGAAGACCCGGAGCGAGUGAAGGACCCGCCGCCAAAGACUAGGAGCGCGGCCCGGUGAGUACAAGCCCCACGUGUUUUUUUUAAUGUGGUUUUUUUUUUUUUUAGUCAUCCCUGUCGGGGCCCCGUCGAAACUGUACGAAUCGGGCCCCGCACUUCCUAAAGCCGGCCUUGGAGAGCGCUCCCCCCUUCACCCCUGGCUUUGGUAAGCAGUUCCCGCACAGCUCUGCAUCCUUGUUGAGUGAGAGUGCCCUUUCUUGCUCUAAUCUGAAUGAAUAACUAGAGGAUCCAAACCAUGCCCUCACUGAUUACACUGGUCUACAAUUUUUGAGAAGACGUCUGCUUCAGAGAUCAAAUGUGCUAUUUAUUAUGUAUUUUGAUAUGCUGAAUUGAAAUAUGACAAUUAAAACAACUGAUUGGCUACUGUUUCUAAGAUA